UCCGUAGGGACCAAGCGUUGUUCGGAUUUACUGGGCGUAAAGGGCGCGUAGGCGGCGUGUUAAGUCACUUGUGAAAUCUCUAAGCUUAACUUAGAACGGUCAAGUGAUACUGAUGUGCUAGAGUGCAGAAGGGGCAACCGGAAUUCUUGGUGUAGCGGUGAAAUGCGUAGAUAUCAAGAGGAACACCUGAGGUGAAGACGGGUUGCUGGGCUGACACUGACGCUGAGGCGCGAAAGCUAGGGUAGAAAACGGG
rnacentral:rRNA from 1 species